rnacentral:rRNA from 1 species
UACGUAGGGGCGAGCGUUGUCCGGAAUGAUUGGGCGUAAAGGGCGCGUAGGCGGCUUUGCAAGUCAGUAGUGGAAGUCCAUUUUUCAAGGAUGGAAGUGCUACAGAAACUGCGGAGCUUGAGUGCAGGAGAGGUUAUCGGAAUUCCCGGUGUAGCGGUGAAAUGCGUAGAGAUCGGGAGGAACACCAGUGGCGAAGGCGGGUAACUGGACUGCAACUGACGCUGAGGCGCGAAAGUGUGGGGAGCAAACAGGAUUAGAUACCCCCGUAGUCCCU